GACGAACGCUGGCGGCGUGCUUAACACAUGCAAGUCGAACGGAAAGGCCCUGCUUUUGUGGGGUGCUCGAGUGGCGAACGGGUGAGUAACACGUGAGUAACCUGCCCUUGACUUUGGGAUAACUUCAGGAAACUGGGGCUAAUACCGGAUAGGAGCUCCUGCUGCAUGGUGGGGGUUGGAAAGUUUCGGCGGUUGAGGAUGGACUCGCGGCUUAUCAGCUUGUUGGUGGGGUAGUGGCUUACCAAGGCUUUGACGGGUAGCCGGCCUGAGAGGGUGACCGGCCACAUUGGGACUGAGAGACGGCCCAGACUCCUACGGGAGGCAGCAGUGGGGAAUAUUGCACAAUGGGCGGAAGCCUGAUGCAGCAACGCCGCGUGCGGGAUGACGGCCUUCGGGUUGUAAACCGCUUUCGCCUGUGACGAAGCGUGAGUGACGGUAAUGGGUAAAGAAGCACCGGCUAACUACGUG
rnacentral:rRNA from 1 species